GCUGGCUGUAAAGCAGAGCCAACAUUAAGCAGCCACUGCUCAUGAUAUUAUAAACAGAAAUGGUUACAUUACAAUCAUGUUUACAGAAACAUUAGUUAAAUACAAAGACAACUGCAGUGAUAUGUGAAACAAAAAUGACUAAUUUAAAAGGCCUUCAUAUCAACAUAUUUGCCUGUGAGAAAUACAAUAUAGAAGAGCACAAGCAAGAAAGCUGUAAAAUAUAAGUUAGAUUGUGUGAAAUGCUGCAUUUUGGUAACACAUAGCUGCCUCAUUUUGUAUAAGCAUUAGCUCUAGAGCCGAUUUGGGGGCAUCUUGCCGGACAUAGCCUUAGUGGAUGGGUCAUCCAAAACUUUGUCCAGUGAACGAUACUGCAAUUUUACACUCUCUG
rnacentral:misc_RNA from 1 species